GAAGACCAGCCCUGGAUGCACAGCUGCUCCCACUCUGUGAUCAGGAUUGAGCAGAUAGCUCACCAUGGGGCUUAGGCUGAGAUGGGUUUUCCUUGUUGCUAUUAUAAAAGGUGUCCAAGCUGAGGUGCAGCUGGUGGAGUCCGGGGGAGACUUGGUGCAGCCUGGGGGGUCCCUGAGACUCUCCUGUGCAGCCUCUGGAUUCACCUUCAGUAACUACUGGAUGAACUGGGUCCGCCAGGCUCCAGGGAAGGGGAUGGAGUGGGUUGGAAACAUUAACCAAAAUGGUGGUAGCACAAACUACCCAGACUCCGUGAAGGGCCGAUUCACCAUCUCCAGGGACAAUGGCAAGAACACGCUGUAUCUGCAAAUGAACAGCCUGAGAACUGAGGACACGGCCGUGUAUUACUGUGCGAGAGACACAGUGAGGGGACAUCAGUGUGAGCCCAGACACAAACCUUCCUGCAGGGAAGUUUAG